UGGGGAAUAUUGGACAAUGGGGGAAACCCUGAUCCAGCAACGCCGCGUGGGGGAUGAAGGUCUUCGGAUUGUAAACCCCUGUUGGGAGGGGCGAAGGCUUUCGGGCGAACAGUCCGGAAGCUUGACGGUACCUCCAGAGAAAGCCCCGGCUAACUCUGUGCCAGCAGCCGCGGUAAUACAGAGGGGGCGAGCGUUAUUCGGAAUUAUUGGGCGUAAAGGGCGCGUAGGCGGCCCAGCAAGUCUUGGGUGAAAUCCCUCGGCUCAACCGAGGAACUGCCCCGGAAACUGCUGGGCUUGAGGCCGGGAGAGGGUGGUGGAAUUCCCAGUGUAGCGGUGAAAUGCGUAGAUAUUGGGAGGAACACCAGUGGCGAAGGCGGCCACCUGGACCGGUUCUGACGCUGAGGCGCGAAAGCGUGGGGAGCAAACAGGAUUAGAUACCCUGGUAGUCCACGCCCUAAACGAUGGGUACUCGGUGCUGGGGGUAUCGACCCCUCCGGUGCCUUAGCUAACGCGUUAAGUACCCCGCCUGGGGAGUACGGUCGCAAGGCUGA
rnacentral:rRNA from 1 species